AAGACAUUGGUUUCUUUUCCUCCUCCAUCCUUUGCCGAAGCCAAUUCUCAAGCAGCAGGAAAAUCAACCGAACCUCCAUCCCACGCAUCCCCGCCCUUCACCGAUCUUCCUCAGGGUGCAAACUUACAGAUUUGGCUUGGAGUUUUGACAUUGAGAUAGUUGAUAAUGAAAUGCUUGGAAAUUUGACAGUGAGGUGAAUUGUUCAUGAAAUGCUUGCAACUGUUGGUACUUGAUGAUGUUUUGUAGGCUACUUGUCCAAAGGCUGUUGAAUGGGUUCACUGAGCUCAAUUUCUAUGCAAGCCUCAUGUCUAUGUUUGGUCCAUGUAUACGUACAUCCUAGUUUUUGUAACCAGUAUCAAAAUUGAAGAAUAAGCCCCUUCUUUAUCAAGUUAAGAUUGUAAAAGAAUGAAGAUUAGUGAUGCUAAAAUUUUGCCUAUUGAAGAGUCUCUCCCUUUUAUUUUAAUUUGCAAUCUAAGGAGAAUCAUCAUCUGCAAACACCUGCAUUCACAUUGUGCCUGUCAAUAGGAAGAUGAAGUUGCAUGUAAUCUCAAUGUAAUAAUGUUCGCAUCACACAUCCUCCGAAGAGCUGAUGCCUUUUAGCAAUGUAAAGCGAGAGAUAUCUUGUAUUAUUUGCAUCGGAAACAAUGAGAAUUGCAAACUCAAGAAUUUACAGAGUUCA